GGGGGAUAUUGCACAAUGGAGGAAACUCUGAUGCAGCAACGCCGCGUGAAGGAUGAAGGUUUUCGGAUUGUAAACUUCUUUAGUCAGGGACGAAAAAAAUGACGGUACCUGAAGAAUAAGCCACGGCUAACUACGUGCCAGCAGCCGCGGUAAUACGUAGGUGGCAAGCGUUGUCCGGAAUUACUGGGUGUAAAGGGCGUGUAGGCGGGAAUGUAAGUCAGAUGUGAAAUCCCAGGGCUUAACCCUGGAGCUGCAUCUGAAACUAUGUAUCUUGAGUGCCGGAGAGGAAAGCGGAAUUCCUAGUGUAGCGGUGAAAUGCGUAGAGAUUAGGAGGAACACCAGUGGCGAAGGCGGCUUUCUGGACGGUAACUGACGCUGAGGCGCGAAAGCGUGGGGAGCAAAC
rnacentral:rRNA from 1 species